AGCCUGAAUUACAUAGCGAGACCCUGUCUCAAAAAACUUUUCAUAGCUCUGUGACAAUUUGAUAAUUUUUAUCUCAGGUGUAUUAGAAAAUUGAGUUUUAUAUGUCUGCUUUUCCCUCUGUUUUCUAGUAUUUUUUAUUUUGUCUUAUAAAAAAGUACUUGUCCUUAGUAAAUGAGAGGAAAAUUCUUCACAGAUGGAUAGAAGCACUGAGCCAGAGCAGGCUUGUUGCUGAAUGGCAUUGAAUCCCAAGACUUGAGCUAGUCAUCAGAGGACACAUCUAGGAAGUUGAUAUGAGUAGAUGAGAGAUGCGUGCUGUGUCACCACUUUCUUGCCCUCAUUUUCCUAUCUUUAAUCAGGAAACUAUGCUUCUGACUGCUCCCAAGCUCUGAGAUUGGUGACUAUUGAAUUAAUAAAGUGUAACACAACCCUUUUCAUUAAGGGUUCGGCCUAGGUGAUACAGCUGAUACAGCUACAAGUGGAGGGAGGUGCUCAACCUGAUCAGACAUAGCAGAGCACUGUGAAGGAACAUGAUGAGCAGUUGUAGAGUUCAUGUGUAGCUCUCAGAGUUAAAUGUCAUACCCUGAGGAAUAAACUCACUAUCAUCAGCAAUGGAAGGAGGUUUAAACACAAAUUCUUAGAUUUCAGGGGGGUCUUCCAUUACAUUACUGUUUUCUGAGAAUCUAAUAAAUUCAAGCAGAGUGGAUUUGAAAGGAUUUCUCAACAGAAUUAUCUUUGUGAUGGGAGUUCCAGACUAUAUUGCACAGGAAAGGUGCUGGCUGGGAAAAAUCUCUGGAGAAGGUUGGCCCUAUGGAGAUACUCAGGAUGGACAGCAGACACCGCUUCAGUUGCCCCUCUAUAUAUUUGCUGCAUACUUGAAUUACCUAGAGUAGGACCUACCCUCAUUAAAUGAUUAAAGAUAGGUUUCCUGACUUGUGUUAAUUUAAAACAAGUCAUGAAGUCAUCUGGGAUAGAUCUCAUAUUGUUGUUUACUUCUUAGGUCUCCUUGCAGUAUACUAACAAAAUGGGUCCACAUUUCCAAAAUGUGUGGAGACAGACUGUUUUACCAUUCACUGCAGUGUUUAGCUUUAGGCCAAAAAUGUUUCCUAUAAGUAAAAAUUAGAUUGUGACUUAAAUCUAUUUUUACUCGGGCCGGGGAUUUAUCUCAGUGGUUUCGCUGCCUGCUGCGCAAGCGCAAGGACCAGAGUUCGAUCCCCGGUACCAAAAAAAAAAAUCUAUUUUUACUCAGAAGAGAGCCAAGUGAAAAUACAAAAAAAAAACCUUGGAGGCUUCAUGGGCAUUAGGUAUGAUCUGUUGGAUUAAAUGUAAGAUGUAAAAUCUGGUAUGUUUUGUAGAAACAAGUUUUAUCACUUCUGUUUUCAACUCAUCUUUAAUUACACACACGAAAGUGAUGGAAUACUCUCAUACACUACUACAAACAAAAAAGAUGAAUAUAUUAUUUAAACUGGUAAGACAAGGAAUAAAAUGGAUUGGUAGAAUAGUGUAUGCAAAUUGACAAAACUACCAAAGUUUAGCCACAGUGAUUUCUAAGCCUUAUAUAGGGUGUGACUACAGGAGUUGAGACAUUACAAAAUCAUCUUUUCUCAAUCAGUUUUAUCUUUCUACCCAUCCUCUGGAUUAGUGCUUUUCAAGCUUUAUUAAAUAUACAAAUCACCCAGGGAUCUUGUCAAAAUGCAGAUUCAGGAACCUAGCAGCUCUAGAGUACAGCUAGAGACUUCUGAUAUUCCAGGUAAUCUGUACACUGUUGAUCCAGAUACCAGUCUGAAUAACAAAGGCACUUACCUAGCAGGUAUCAAAGUCCUGGCGUGAUCCCCAGCACCAAAAAACCCUGGAUGACAAUUUCAUAGACUACAUUUUUUAUUAUUAGGUUUUUUUGUUCUGUGUUUUUUUUUUCUCUUUUUUUGCAGUACCAGGGAUCGAACUCAGGACCUUGUGCUUGCAAGGCAGGUGCAGUGCCACUGAACUAAAUCCCUGGCCCUAAUGAUGAACACUUUUCUGAAACUCAGGUGGCAGAGUGAGUACAGGAUAGAACUGAUAGCUGAAUUCAGCCAGAGGAACCAGUAGAAUAUCUCAGUAUUGGAUGCAUCUCCCAUGGCCUGCAGUUGAAGCAAUCCUGCGCAGAGGAUAGGGAGCCCAGCCCAGGGCGAACACGCACACAAUGGCUAUAAACGGAGAGCUACCGGUAGCUGGCCAUGGUGCUGGUGAGGUCUGACUACCUCUGGCCAUUGCGGAUGUUCUUGGUGGAUCUCUGGUGGCUCUGCCUACACUGGGCUGCUUUGGCUCUGAAGUCCACCUGCGCAAGUGGUAAAUCUUGAGUCCCAGGGACAUUGACAGAAAGACCCUUGUUUCUGCGAGAGAGGCCCUGGUCUUCUCUUCCUGCUUCUCUCAGGUUUAACCAAAAAAAAAAAAAAAAUUGAUGUGCUUUUUUCUGUCCUGGAAGUUCACUUCUAAGCCACCUUGACUGGGGGCAGUGUUCUCACUCCUGAGGAGGAUAAGCUUCUGAAUGGUAAUAGAGAUGCUUAAGUUGAAUUGACAUCAGUGAAAGGGGUAAAGAAUUCAGUGAUGGAAACUGUCUUUAGGAAGAACCAGUGGUAGAAGAACUUGGCUUCGUACUUCCCCUGAUGUAAGAUGCUUCUUUGGGCCACAUUCUCCAAGAUGAUGGCAGGACCUUACAGGAGGAAUGCUCCCUUAUCAGUGCCAUCUUGAAGACAACAUUCCUGGUCAUAAUCUUCUGAGCCCCUGUAAGUCACCUAUAAAUAGAGUCUAGUGAUAGGGGAGGCUGCGGCAGCUUUCCCCACUCUGUCUGGUGCAGUAGAAUGCCAACAGUGAACUGAGGCUGAAGGUUGGUUGUUAAUAUGGCUGGUGAUUGGGCAAAGGGUGGGCUCUGUUUCCAUGCUACCCAACUCUUCCCCACUUGAUGUAGCAUCCUGGAAAUGAGUGAAGAGCUUUCCUCAUGGAUCAGUGCAGAACGUUCAAUACUGACAGGUGAUUUCACUGCAUGUGUUUAUAAUAUACAUAAAGCCUGGGUUUCAGAGCAAAGGAGCCAAAUUACUAAAAUUAUCCAGGGGGCAUGUCAGGAGAGUGAACCCAAGAAAUAGGUUCUGUGAGCUCCUGAAAAGUUAGGAAAUGCCACUUUAGACAAUAUUUGUACUUAGGAAAUGAUUUUGGCCAAACAGAGUGGGAAUAUAAGAAGCAAUAAACAGGGAUGGGAGACAAGGAAGGACUAGGAUGAAAAAUGAUGAGUCAGUGGUUUUCAUUCUCAGCUGUGCCUUACAAUCACUGGAAAGUAUUAAAAAUGGCAAUGUCUGGGCCCACCUCCAAGCCAAUUCAAUCCAAAGUGAGCUGAGUACUGCAGCAAUAAAUGAAGCAAACUGUGAGAGCCACAGUGUAGACUUGGGGGUGGCCCUGCCUCUGAGAAGGGUGUGUGGAUGGGUGUGUUGUGUUGGGGGUGGUUCUCAGACCAUUAAUUCUUAUGGGUACUGAGACGAACAAAGCUUCUUGAUUUUUCUUUCUUCAAAGUCCAAAGUUAAGUUCUUUUUUUGUUUUGUUUUGUUUCUGGCUUUUCCUUGUUUCAUGUAAAGCUCACCCUCUGCCCUUGCUGCUUUAUUUCGUUGAGCCUUAUCCCAUCUACAAAAUGGGGGUAAAGAAGCUUGGUUUGUACUUACCUUGUAGGGAGUGAGGAACACAUAGAGGUUACAGCCAAAGGGCUUUUAACUCCUUAUUUUUUCUGAUGGGAAAAGACUGAGAUGUCCAAGGUCACACAAUGUGGAAGUGGCUAAAAUAAGACUGGAACCCAGAUCACAAUAUUUGUAACCUAGUCCUUGGCAUCUUUUCUUUUCCUUUUGGAUCUGUGGGGUCCUGAAAAUAGAAGUGGCAUGGUAGGGGUUUCCCUUGACUAUCAGCCCAGCAGCUCCAAACCCAACCAGUCCCCACCUGCCCUCACUAGCACAGGUGUGUCAAGCCUCCGCCCUUCCUCCCGCCUUGAUGACAGAUAAAUCUUGUUUAGCUGAUGAGAUGUCCUGCACUGAGGCAGAGCACACCAGACAGUCCAUCCACAGCCACAAUCUACAAAGCCGCUUCCCGAAUUUCUAUCCCCCACCCCCCGACCUAGUGCACCGUGGGAUGCCGAGGGCCUGUGGGCCGGAGGGGACUCUGCCAGGCAAGCCCUGGGGGAGGUCUCUGAAUGCCCGGACACCUUCAGGGCUGCUCAGGCGACCCUGCCUUCAGCCCACCCCGGGCCUGCCUCACCCACAGGGAGCGCCCAGGUGAAGAAGUUGCUUCGGUCCACGUCGAAGGCCACCAUGACCACCGCGGGACCGGGAGCGGAGGAAAGGACCUCACGUGGCCCAGGGUGAGCCCCAUCCGGGCCAGGAGCAGGAGCAGGUAGCCGGGCGUGCGCGCGGCCGCGGGGAUGUGGCCUGGAGCCCGAACCGGUGACCCUCACCCCGGGCUAGGGGGCGACGGUAGGCGGCGGGACCCUGCGCGCACUCUUGGAGGCAAGGUUGGGGGACAAGUCUCGGCUCUCCAGCUGUCUGCAUAGCGUCCUGGACUCUUUGAAGGAAGACGUUACUGUGUUUUCUCAAAUACCACAGUUAAUAGUUUUAUGUUUUAUUUUGAUCAUUAAAGUAAUGCUUGUAGAAAGAAAUCAAACAAUACAGAAAGGCAUAGAAUUGAAGUGAAAUUUCUUAAAAAUACGUCCUCCUAGAAGACCCACUUGGAACAUUAAGUUCUUCCAUGCUUCAAUCCUUUGACUUACUUUCUUGCCAGUGAUACAAAAUGCCCACACUUUAAAAGAGGAGAAAGUUCUUUUUUUGUUUGUUUUACAGUUCAGAAGUUUAAGUCCAUGUUCAGCAGACUUAACUACAGAAACGGCACAGUAGAAGGGUCUGGGCAGAGAAAAGUUGCUUCCCUCCUGGGAGCCAGGAAGCAGAGAGCGGGAAGGAGCUGGGCGGGGAGAUCCUAACAGUGGGCCGCAGCGCCUGAGGCUCCAUUCCUCUUCCCAAAGCCCUGCCUGAGAGCACAGGAGGCUGUAGGGGGACAUUGAGAUAUAAACAAUAAUGUCCUGUUCUUUUCCCAACGUUUCCUUCUUCCAAAGAAGUAGACAAAAAGUAAAACAAACAAAAACCCAAAGCUCCACAGAUUUUUUAAAAAAUAGUUUUGAUGUCCUAAUGAAUAACCUGUUUCUUCUCUCCAAGAAAUAAUACAUCUGACAUUUUCCCACAUCCGUAUGGGAUAUGGAUGAUCACACUGUUGUCCUCAUCGUUAUCUUCCAUGCCUUCACUGUUUCCCUGUUGUGUUUAUGAGCAUAUGGACUUAUCUGUUGAUGGACCACUAGCUGUUGUUUACAAUUUGCUUCAGUGAAGGGAAGAGUGACCCAGUCUCAUGGAAGCAAUCCUUGGACCAUGGAACAGGAGUGGGCUCUUGCUGAAUAUUUAGUGCAGUGACUCUCAAACUUUUUGAAGCACAGCACACAGUAGAAAAUACUUUUUACAUUAGAUAAGACUGAUGUUCUUAUAAGAAAACUACCCCUUCUAUGUUCACACAAAGAAAAAGCCAUUGAAGACACAAAAAUAAAUGCCAGGACGUCUACAUGCCAGGAGGCUAAAUCAAUCCUGACAGUACUUGAUCUUAGAAUCCUGGCCUCCUGAACUGUGAGAAAAUACAUUUUUGUUGUUUAAGCCA